ACUUCCAACAACGGAUCUCUUGGUUCUGGCAUCGAUGAAGAACGCAGCGAAAUGCGAUAAGUAAUGUGAAUUGCAGAAUUCAGUGAAUCAUCGAAUCUUUGAACGCACAUUGCGCCCUUUGGUAUUCCGAAGGGCAUGCCUGUUCGAGCGUCAUUAC
rnacentral:rRNA from 1 species